rnacentral:rRNA from 1 species
UACGUAGGCAGCAAGCGUUGUUCGGAGUUACUGGGCGUAAAGGGUGUGUAGGCGGUUGUUUAAGUUUGGUUUGAAAUCUCCCGGCUCAACUGGGAGGGUGCGCCGAAUACUGAAUGACUAGAGUGCGGGAGAGGAAAGUGGAAUUCCUGGUGUAGCGGUGAAAUGCGUAGAUAUCAGGAGGAACACCGGUGGUGAAGGCGGGUCUCUGGGCCGUUACUGACGCUGAGGAGCGAAAGCGUGGGGAGCGAACAGG